UGGGGAAUUGUUCGCAAUGGGCGCAAGCCUGACGACGCAACGCCGCGUGGAGGACGAAGAUCUUCGGGUCGUAAACUCCUUUCGAUCGGGAAGAAUGUUCUCGGGCUGAAUAAUCCCGAGAAGUGACGGUACCGAGAGAAGAAGCCCCGGCUAACUCCGUGCCAGCAGCCGCGGUAAUACGGGGGGGGCAAGCGUUGUUCGGAAUUACUGGGCGUAAAGGGCGCGUAGGCGGUUUGCUAAGUUGAAUGUGAAAACUCUGGGCUUAACCCAGAGCCUGCAUUCAAUACUGGCAGGCUAGAGUUCUGGAGGGGAUAGCGGAAUUCCUGGUGUAGCGGUGAAAUGCGUAGAUAUCAGGAGGAACACCGGUGGCGAAGGCGGCUAUCUGGACAGAGUCUGACGCUGAGGCGCGAAAGCUAGGGGAGCAAAC
rnacentral:rRNA from 1 species